GGACGUCACCAAAUCUAAAUGUGACGCAUCUUGUGUCAUAGCCACGAAUUUGCUCUGUAACGUAAUCGGCAGUGUCGCGUUCUACCGGCUCCGUGUUCGAGGUCAGCUGGGGGCUUGUAUGACCUCGGCGUUGAGAGCUGAUGCCACGGUGAUGCGUCGAAGUCUGCGCGGGAACCGUCACCGGUUACGACCGUGCUCGAACACUGCAGCAGUUGCUGGGCGCUGCGUUCGAGCGAGGACGUGAACCGCCGAACAGAACCCUGUCCACCUCCUUUGGAAUGAGACGCCCAGUACCAGCAUCAAGCCCGCCACAUCGACUGAGCUGCGGCGCUGUCAGGAGUAACAACCGUAAACAAAGACAAAGGACGAGGAAGAAGGAGUGAAG